rnacentral:rRNA from 1 species
AGAGUUUGAUCAUGGCUCAGAUUGAACGCUGGCGGCGUGCUUAACACAUGCAAGUCGAACGAGAAAGUUCCUUCGGGAAUGAGUAGAGUGGCGCACGGGUGAGUAACGCGUGGAUAAUCUACCGGGGAGUGGGGAAUAACAGUUGGAAACGGCUGCUAAUACCGCAUACGCUGCAUAUAUGUCUAUGCAGGAAAGGGGGCCUCUGCAUAUGCUUCCGCUUUUCGAUGAGUCCGCGUCCCAUUAGCUUGUUGGCGGGGUAACGGCCCACCAAGGCGACGAUGGGUAGCUGGUCUGAGAGGAUGACCAGCCACACUGGGACUGGAACACGGCCCAGACUCCGUACGGGAGCA